AUCUCGGGAGGGGCACUUGUAGAUUAUUUAAAGAAAUAAUCCAGACACAAUAACUACUACAGCUCAGUGUAGUGGUUAUGGUGUCAAUAGUGCCGGGACCCCCUCCUAGAGUAAGUAGUCAAACCGUUUAAGAACAGUUUGACAACUUACCUGAGGUCUGCUGGGAAAUGGGACGGUAGUAGGGCAUAGGAGCAGUGGUGUGUGUGAGUGGUGCAAUGUGUAAGGGGUGCAGUGUGUGUGUGUGUGAGGGGGACAGUGUGUGAGCAGUGUGUGUGUGUGUGUGUGAAGGUUGUAGUGUGUGAGUAGGGGGGCAGUGUAUGUCAGGGAUGCAGUGUAUGUGUGGGACAGUAUGUGUGUGUAACAGUUGCAGUGUGUGUGUGAGUGUGGGCAAUGUGUGUGUG
rnacentral:lncRNA from 1 species